rnacentral:rRNA from 1 species
CAAGUAGCGGAGCAUGUGGUUUAAUUCGAAGCAACGCGAAGAACCUUACCUAAGCUUGACAUCCCAAUGACAUCUCCUUAAUCGGAGAGUUCCCUUCGGGGACAUUGGUGACAGGUGGUGCAUGGUUGUCGUCAGCUCGUGUCGUGAGAUGUUGGGUUAAGUCCCGCAACGAGCGCAACCCUUGUCUUUAGUUGCCAUCAUUAAGUUGGGCACUCUAGAGAGACUGCCAGGGAUAACCUGGAGGAAGGUGGGGAUGACGUCAAAUCAUCAUGCCCCUUAUGCUUAGGGCUACACACGUGCUACAAUGGGUAGUACAGAGGGUUGCCAAGCCGUAAGGUGGAGCUAAUCCCUUAAAGCUACUCUCAGUUCGGAUUGUAGGCUGAAACUCGCCUACAUGAAGCUGGAGUUACUAGUAAUCGCAGAUCAGAAUGCUGCGGUGAAUGCGUUCCCGGGUCUUGUACACACCGCCCGUCACACCACGGGAGUUGGAGACGCCCGAAGCCGAUUAUCUAACC